GCUAAACGCGAAGAACCUUACCUGGCCUUGACAUCCAUGGAAUCCCGAAGAGAUUUGGGAGUGCCGCAAGGAACCAUGAGACAGGUGCUGCAUGGCUGUCGUCAGCUCGUGUCGUGAGAUGUUGGGUUAAGUCCCGCAACGAGCGCAACCCUUGUCCUUAGUUGCCAUCAUUAAGUUGGGAACUCUAAGGAGACCGCCGGUGACAAACCGGAGGAAGGUGGGGAUGACGUCAAGUCAUCAUGGCCUUUAUGGCCAGGGCUACACACGUGCUACAAUGGCAGGUACAGAGGGAAGCCAACCGGCGACGGGGAGCUAAUCCCAGAAAGCCUGUCUUAGUCCGGAUUGCAGUCUGCAACUCGACUGCAUGAAGUUGGAAUCGCUAGUAAUCGCAGAUCAGCAUUGCUGCGGUGAAUACGUUCCCGGGUCUUGUACACACCG
rnacentral:rRNA from 1 species